UGUGAUUCAUCCAGUUCUUCA
rnacentral:piRNA from 1 species